rnacentral:rRNA from 1 species
UACAGAGGUCUCAAGCGUUGUUCGGAUUCAUUGGGCGUAAAGGGUGCGUAGGCGGCGCGGUAAGUCGGGUGUGAAAUCUCGGAGCUUAACUCCGAAACUGCAUUCGAUACUGCCGUGCUUGAGGACUGGAGAGGAGACUGGAAUUUACGGUGUAGCGGUGAAAUGCGCAGAUAUCAGGAAGGACACCCGUGGCGAAGGCGGCUCUCUGGGACGGUACUGACGCUGAGACGCGAAAGCGUGGGGAGCGAACGGG